UACGGAGGGUGCGAGCGUUGUCCGGAAUCAUUGGGCGUAAAGGGCGCGUAGGUGGCCCGGUCAGUCCGUGGUGAAAGCGCGGGGCUCAACCCUGCGUCGGCCAUGGAUACUGCCGCGGCUGGAGCACUGUAGAGGCAGGCGGAAUUCCGGGUGUAGCGGUGGAAUGCGUAGAGAUCCGGAAGAACACCGGUGGCGAAGGCGGCCUGCUGGGCAGUAGCCGAAAGGCUUUCAAGCUGACACUGAGGCGCGACAGCGUGGGGAGCAAACAGG
rnacentral:rRNA from 1 species